UACAGAGGAUGCAAGCGUUAUCCGGAAUGAUUGGGCGUAAAGCGUCUGUAGGUGGCUUUUUAAGUCCGCCGUCAAAUCCCAGGGCUCAACUCUGGACAGGCGGUGGAAACUACCAAGCUGGAGUACGGUAGGGGCAGAGGGAAUUUCCGGUGGAGCGGUGAAAUGCGUAGAGAGUCGGGAGGAACACCGGUGGCGAAGGCGGUUCUCUGGGCCUGACCUGACGCUGAGGAGCGAAAGCGUGGGGAGCGAACAGG
rnacentral:rRNA from 1 species